GAUGAACGCUGGCGGCGUGCCUAAUACAUGCAAGUCGAGCGAACGGACGAGACGCUUGCUUCUCUGAUGUUAGCGGCGGACGGGUGAGUCACACGUGGAUAACCUACCUAUAAGACUGGGAUCACUUCGGGAAACCGGAGCUAAUACCGGAUAAUAUUUUGAACCGCAUGGUUCAAAAGUGAAAGACGGUCUUGCUGUCACUUAUAGAUGGAUCCGCGCUGCAUUAGCUAGUUGGUAAGGUAACGGCUUACCAAGGCAACGAUGCAUAGCCGACCUGAGAGAGUGAUCGGCCACACUGGAACUGAGACACGGUCCAGACUCCUACGGGAGGCAGCAGUAGGGAAUCUUCCGCAAUGGGCGAAAGCCUGACGGAGCAACGCCGCGUGAGUGAUGAAGGUCUUCGGAUCGUAAAACUCGGUUAUUAGGGAAGAACAUAUGUGUAAGUAAAUGUGCACAUCUUGACGGUACCUAAUCAGAAAGCCACGGCUAACUACGUG
rnacentral:rRNA from 1 species